UUUUGGACAAUGGGCGCAAGCCUGAUCCAGCAAUGCCGCGUGAGUGAAGAAGGCCUUCGGGUUGUAAAGCUCUUUUGUCAGGGAAGAAACGGUGAGCUCUAAUACAGUUUGCUAAUGACGGUGCCUGAAGAAUAAGCACCGGCUAACUACGUGCCAGCAGCCGCGGUAAUACGUAGGGUGCAAGCGUUAAUCGGAAUUACUGGGCGUAAAGCGUGCGCAGGCGGUUAUGUAAGUCAGAUGUGAAAUCCCCGGGCUCAACCUGGGAAUGGCAUUUGAGACUGCAUGGCUAGAGUGUGUCAGAGGGGGGUAGAAUUCCACGUGUAGCAGUGAAAUGCGUAGAGAUGUGGAGGAAUACCGAUGGCGAAGGCAGCCCCCUGGGAUAACACUGACGCUCAUGCACGAA
rnacentral:rRNA from 1 species